rnacentral:rRNA from 1 species
AGAACGAACGCUGGCGGCAGGCUUAACACAUGCAAGUCGAACGGUUGUAGCAAUACAGCAGUGGCAGACGGGUGAGUAACACGUGGGAACCUUCCUAGGGGUACGGAACAACUCAGGGAAACUUGAGCUAAUACCGUAUACGUCCGUGAGGAGAAAGAUUUAUCGCCCCUAGACGGGCCCGCGUAGGAUUAGGUAGUUGGUGAGGUAACGGCUCACCAAGCCUACGAUCCUUAGCUGAUCUGAGAGGAUGAUCAGCCACACGUGGACUGACGACACCGGCCCAAGGACCUCCGUACGGGAGGCCGAGCAGUGGGGAAUCGUUGGACAAGUGGGCGACAAGCCCUGGAACUCCGAGCCAGUCGCCGACGUGAGUGAACGGUAAGGCCGUUACGGGUUAGUAAACGCGUUACGUUUUACCGAGGGAACGUACUAAA